CGGCGAGUGAAGCGGGAUGAGCUCAAGCUUAAAAUCUCUGUGCAGGUUCUGCAUGGCGAAUUGUAGUCUAUGGAGGCGAUGUCAGUGCGGUUGUGCGGGAUAAGUUCCUUGGAAGAGGACAGCAUCGAGGGUGAUACUCCCGUAUGUGCCUGUACAGCUGCGCGUACGACACGUUUUCUUUGAGUCGCGUUGUUUGGGAAUGCAGCGCAAAGUAGGUGGUAAAUUCCAUCUAAAGCUAAAUAUUGGUGCGAGACCGAUAGCGAACAAGUACCGUGAGGGAAAGAUGAAAAGAACUUUGAAAAGAGAGUUAAAGAGUACCUGAAACUGCUGAAAGGGAAUCGAAUCGUUUCCAGUGUCUAUAAUCCAUGACAUAUUUCAUUGGCGCGUGAAUGCGUGCAGCGUUUUGGAAGUGGGUUUCCUCUCCUGGCGUUGUUGUGCGUUUGCUUGCUGGUGCCCUGUGUUGUGGUGGGACGUCAGAGUCAGUUCGUAUGCCGCGGGAAAUGGCUGUCAGGGAGGUAGGUCGCUUCGGUGAUUGUUAUAGCCUGGCAGUUAGUAGUCGUGGUUGGGACUGAGGUGCCUACAACGCGCUUUCGAGUCUGCGGGACUCUCGUCUGGUUGCCUGCUUGGACAGCUUGCUGUGCUAGUGGUCACAUCGGGCGAUUGAGAUCUGUAGUAACU
rnacentral:rRNA from 1 species